rnacentral:lncRNA from 1 species
UGUUGCCAAUUUCCUUCUUCUUCGGUUGCUGGUGUGUUGUUCUACAGUAGAAGUGCGGUUGUCUUUAACAUAAGCUGCUCUGGUUUUGUGUUGCGUGGGGUUGGCUAAUUGUCAACAAUCCUUGUGUUGGUGUCCUUUUACUUUGUAGUGAAUGCCAUAAAUCCGAGGUCCCAAUUUGGCAUCAACUACCUUUGGCUGCUGAUUGCUCUAUCUUUUUGUUGUGUUGUUGCAUACAACAACGUUGAGUGUUCCGCAUGUUCUCUUGCUCUCAGGUGGUUCUAUAGUUUUGGUGUUGUCAAGGAUUGGGCAUCGCGGCACCUUAGGCGUGCCCUUGCUGCUGGUGCUCAUCCAAGGCUGGGCCUCCUUCGUAGGCACGUUGGAUUGGCUUAUUGCAAAAAUAGCAAUCGAUUCAAUUUGACCCAAUUGACUUGCUCAUAAACUUCAAAGUCUACUUUCAACUAAACUUCAGCAUCUCUAAAA